rnacentral:tRNA from 1 species
AGGGAUAGCUCAGUGGGUAAGAGUGCUUGUUUUGCAAACAUGAGAACCUGAGUUAGAAUCCCCAGCAUCUUUG